UUGUUUUGCUGUGUGAUUCCCACCUAUCUGAUAGGAAGAUUUACUGAGGACUCCAGAGUCAAUCUGCACAUGAAAUAUCAGUAAGGUUUAUUAUUUUCAUGAUGAGACAUGGAAAGACCAUAUGAAGAAACAGUAGGUGAACCACCUAGAAGCCGGGAAGAGAGUUCUUACCAGAAAUGGAUUCAGCUGGAACUUUGCUCUUGGAUCUCUAGCCUCCAGAAUUAUGAGAAGAUAAAUUUCUAUUGUUUGAGCCA